GCAAGUCGAGGGGCAGCAUGGGACUUCGGUCCUGAUGGCGACCGGCGCACGGGUGAGUAACGCGUACACGACCUACCUUCGAGAGUGGGAUAGCCUCGGGAAACUGAGAUUAAUACCGCAUAGUAUUGGUUUUACUAAAAGGGACCAAUUAAAGAUUUCGAUUGCUCGAAGAUGGGUGUGCGUUAGAUUAGAUAGUUGGUGAGGUAACGGCUCACCAAGUCGACGAUCUAUAGGGGGCGUGAGAGCGUGGCC
rnacentral:rRNA from 1 species